GCACUGCUGAGGAGUCCCAUAAUAGAACGAAACGGCAAUCCAGUGC
rfam:Schistosoma haematobium scaffold1427_2, whole genome shotgun sequence.